ensembl:snRNA U4 U4 spliceosomal RNA
GGUGUUGCACAGUGGCAGUAUCGCAGCCAGUGAGGUUAAUCCAAGGCGUGAUUAUCGUGAGUUGAAAACUUUUCCCUAAGUCCU